AACGCACCUUGCGCUCCUUGGUAUUCCGAGGAGCAUGCCUGUUUGAGUGUCAUGGAAUUCUCAACCUUUGAAAGCUUUUAUCGGUUCUCAAAGGCUUGGACUUGGAGGUCGUGUCGGCUCUGCAAAGAAUAUCGACUCCUCUGAAACGUAUCAGUGCGAACCUUUACGGAUCGUCUUCGGUGUGAUAAACGUCUACGCCGUGGUCGUGAAGUAUGAUCGUGUCCGUGCUUCUAACCGUCUCCUUUGCGAGACAAAAACUGUGUUACUUACUAUAAGUAACAUAGGCAUUGACAAUCUGACCUCAAAUCAGGUAGGACUACCCGCUGAACUUAA
rnacentral:ncRNA from 4 species